rnacentral:rRNA from 1 species
UACGGAGGGGGCUAGCGUUGUUCGGAAUUACUGGGCGUAAAGCGCACGUAGGCGGCUUUGCAAGUUAGAGGUGAAAGCCCGGGGCUCAACUCCGGAAUUGCCUUUAAAACUGCAUCGCUAGAAUUGUGGAGAGGUAAGUGGAAUUCCGAGUGUAGAGGUGAAAUUCGUAGAUAUUCGGAAGAACACCAGUGGCGAAGGCGACUUACUGGUCCGGUACUGACGCUGAGGUGCGAAAGCGUGGGGAGCAAACAGG